AUACGGAGGGUGCAAGCGUUACUCGGAAUCACUGGGCGUAAAGGACGCGUAGGCGGUUUGGAAAGUCAGAUGUGAAAUGCUAGGGCUCAACCGUAGAACUGCAUCUGAACCUCCCAGACUAGAAUGAGUGAGAGGUCAGUGGAAUUAGUGGUGUAGGGGUAAAAUCCGUAGAGAUCACUAGGAAUACUCAUUGCGAAGGCGACUGACUGGAACUUAAUUGACGCUGAGGCGUGAAAGCGUGGGGAGCAAACAGGAUUAGAAACCCUAGUAGUCC
rnacentral:rRNA from 1 species